rnacentral:lncRNA from 1 species
GAAUAAUCUUAUUUCAUAUUAAAACUUUGGAUAACUGGCACAGCAAGAAUGUUUCAAAAAUUCCAUUUCCCUUAAUUGCUUCUCAUUUGGUGCUUUUGUUAUCAGAUGGGUAUUCCAGACAAUGAGGCUCCCUCAGGUAGUGGCUGCAGUUGGCAUAUAAAUGGCAUCCUUGCCAGAUCAGCCCCAAUCUGCUGUCUGUGUGUUUCAUAGGGAAACCAGCUCUGUGCCUGCCUGCACAGUUCAGGUUGAAGCAGGACUACUGACGUAGAAGCCAUGGCAGACUUCUGCCCGGGGCGUGGAAUGAGUACAUUCUUCCCUGUCAAGUCCUGGGAAUUAUUUUCCACCAUGAGCACAGUGCUCUUUUUAGCUUUGCAUCACUGAGUAACUGUCAGGAGACAAGCGCUAUGACAAGAAAAAUCCAUCCUUAAAACCGUCUGUUUAUUUGUACCCAAAGACAUGUUGUUGAGGUUAGAGGUUGGUGUAAAAUCUUCUGAUAUAUAGGUGCAUAUACAUACAUACACACACAGACACAUGCACAAGCUAGAAAAGUUCUUGCUUACUAAUUUAAAGAAGACUAUAACUAUAUUUACAUUAGGGUCUAACAUAGGGACUUAUUUCUUUUAACAAAUAUAGGCUGGAUAAGAAUUAUAACUAAGUUGGUAAUGCAACUCUAAUUGAGGGAAUUAAAUUAUUAUACCUAAUAAAAAUCACAGCACUCAUUUUUACUUUAUCCAUAGUAACUACAAUGGGAGGGAUAGAGUGGGAAUUUUUUUAUUUAUGAAUGAAUAUAUUUGCAUGGAUUACAAGUUGAGAAAUAACUCCAAUUUGAUGUUAAAUAUCAAUGAAAACAACCAUAAAGGUUUCACAAAAGUGUGCUAGAAUUAAUGAACUUGAAAAAUAAUUCAACUAAUCAGCAGUUUGAUGGGUUUAGAGCAAAAAUUAGAGAAAUGGAAGAAAGGGUAAAACUAUUGGAAAAACACAGUAGGGAAUGUAAGUAGAGUGUGAAAACUGCUGCGGAACAGAUUGCUGUUAUAAUUAGAGACAAUAUUUCACUCUCCUUUAAAUACAAGUCCCUGGAAAUUGCUCUGAGUGAAAGAGGGGGAGGCACAGCUGUUUGAGUGUACAGCUGGUGGGAAUGACAAAGACUAUAGUCAGACGUAAACCAGUUAAAAAAAUAGACUAGCUAAGUAACAGUAACACCUGGCUUGAGCAUAAUGACAAAUAUGCAUUAUUCUUAAGGAAAUAAAACAUAGAGGGUUUUUAUGGAGAAUACAAAAAUUUCUACCUGGUAAUAAAUAUGUUUCAUGCAUAUAAGAAUCUCUACAACUAGUGGCUCACGCCUGUAAUCCCAGCACUUUGGGAGGCCAAGGCGGGUGGAUCACCUGAGGUCAGCAGUUCGAGACCAGCCUGG